GCGGGUGUAGCGCAGGGGUCGACGCGCGCGGUCUCCAAAACCGCGAGGACGCCGGUUCGAAUCCGGUCACCCGCC
rnacentral:tRNA from 4 species